AUGCAUCUUUUGCCUUCUCAUGUAGACUUCUUGUAGUUCGUCCUUUACAAGAUUCAAAUUGGUGACACAUUUUUUUUAUUAGUCCGUUCUCAGUCACGUUUACCUUAUUAUGUUUUGAAAAGUUGAGUCCUCAUGUGAAACUGUUGCUCUAAUUUUGAUUUUAUUUAUAUUGCGUUCUGUUUUCUUCUUGUGGAGCAUCAAUACUCAAUUUUUUGUUGCUGAAGUUUUAGUGAUUUCCUUUUUAGGAAGAUAAAAAUAAGGCUGCUGCUCUAACGAAUGCCUAUAUCUUACUUGGGAAACAUCAGUUAGAGAUACAACUUCUGCUGUUACUGUAUGUGCGAAGAAUCUUGGGGAUGAGCAGCUUUCUCUUGUUAUUUGCCAUCUUGUUGAAGGUUAUGGUGGAACAUUAGAGUGUUAUCUUAUUUCGAAAUUCUUCCUCCCAUCUGCUCUUGCCAAAGGUGACUACUGGUUUGCAAGUAUUCUGGAGGUUUAUCUUAGAGUGCUUGCUUGCCCAACGGGGUCCUUGAACAGUAAAUGCAUAUUCUCAUCCCGUCAACCUGAUCCAAACAUUGGAGACUUAUUCCUAAUGUUAGCCGCCAAGACUACCAUGAAGAAUGCUAUUGGGGAGCAAAAUGCUGCUUCCUUGAGUAGAUGGGCAAUCUUGAUGAGGGCCCACUGCCUUAAGCUCAAGCGGACUGCUACUUGAAGUUUUGGAAUGCCUUUCAUCUUCUGUGAGCGUCACUGGUGAUUCGAAGCGACGAAGUGUGCCAGAUAAUGUGGACCCUGGAUGCCUGCAUGAAAUGCUGAGUGCAAUGUUAAAUGAAACUUCAUCAAACUGGCUAUCACUGGGUGUGGCUUUUCAGAUAGAUUCACGUGUGAGAUCAGACUUGUCUAUGCAAUAUAUGUCUAAAAUGUUAAGAAGACAUCCAAGAUGGGUAGACAAUGAUAUGGCACGUCUUCAGAAACACAUGUAUACUGUAUCUGAGAAUCGAGAAUACAAGCUUUUACUUGAAUCUUUUCAAGAUGAAUUGAUGACUGCAAUCGCAUCCUUUCAACUGAAGUUCUCCAUAAUUCCUCAACAUCUUAUUUACAGGGUGUCUACUCAUAACAAAUGUUAUGUUUGCAAUUUUUGUUUCGCGAGGGCUGAUUGUCAGAUUUUUUUUUCUUUUUGCCCUUGUACAGAUCUUUUUGUCGUUUCGCAACCGCGGUUUGGUGUAUAUAGGAUGCCACUUGUUGCAAGAGUACAUAAAUGAAUAUCUGUCAAGUGAGCAAGGCAGUGGACUUGAUGGUUGUUCAUUGUAUCCUUGCCCCCCAGAGCUAUUUCUCAAAGUGUCUGGAGAGCUAUUUUAUAUUUUUGAAAGAUAUAUCAUUAUGUGUAGCAUGGACUGUUUCUACUUGAAGUCAUUCACCUUUAGUAAUAAUAGAGCUGACGAAAACAUCUAUUGUGCCGUCUGUACAAGAGGAGGUUAUGUUGGACAUUCUGGUGUCUUAAAGCCAUGAUGCAGUUCUCUUCUGUUUCUUGUACAGAAAAUGUUGUAGGGACACAUUUUACUAUCCUUGGUUUGUCAGCGUAUCUUUUACUGUUUGCAUCUGCUUGGGUACAAAGAAAUUUUAGUGUUCUUAUCCUGAUUGUGAAACCUCUCUUGAUGGCAAAAACUUCAGUGGAGACAGACAUAAAGGACAUACAGAAACUUCUCUGCGAGUCUUGAGAAAUGAUGGUCGUCUGAUUGACCUACUCACGCUGCUGGAUCCUCUGUUCAGAACAAGACUUCUGGCUAAGAUACUAAAGGUAGCAUGUGCUCACAUCUCUUAUUGUGUGAAUCAGUUUGCAUCUGUUCUGCUGGAGAGCAUAGAUCCAGGUGCAAAUACAGUGUAUGAAGAUUAUUUAUGCUCACAUAAACCACCAGAUACUAAACUUAAAAGUCAUAACAUUGUAAAGAUGGAUGUUCUUUAAUAGAUUACGGCAGCACUUAGUUUGUUGUAAAAAGAAAAAAAAAACACAGUAGUAACAAACUACCGCAGCUCAGCUAAGUUGGUAAAUCUGUACACUCUUACCUUAUGCAUGUAAAGAUAGAUGGUAGGUAUUGACUGUAUUGUGGCAUGUGAGAAAAAAGCGAUUUUUCCACUACUUGGAAGAAGGCCAUCCUUGGCCAUAUUAGUAAGUGCAUCGAAUACUGCAUCCAAUUAGUAUAUAUGUAAACGUAUCAGGUCGCAGACCUACUCUCAACACGAGCUUCACAAAGACCAUGAUUUGCGAUGAAUAAGUAAUUACGUAAGGUAUGACCCUUUUUCAACCAUCUGCUGCUUACAACAGAACGUUCUUUCCAACUUACAAUUUCUACAAAACCCAGAUACUAUUGGUACUAGAAGUUGCAAUUUAUGGGAACAGCCUUUUUCGGUUCCAUCUCUCCCGUUGCACCUAAUUCAUAAAACCCUGUGGAGAAAAGCCAACAAUCUACGUUGAGUAAGUUUAAGCGCUAUCGUUGGGAUGUAAUCUCGUAGCACACAACUGAUCGAAAGCUCCAUCGUUGGGAUGUAAUACCGUAGCACACAACUGAGCGAAAGUUCUAUCGUUGGAAUGUAAUAACGUAGCACACAACUGAUCAAAAUAAUUCCAUUGCGCAAAGACACAACAUUUGGAAACAACCCAUUCCUUAACAUUUUCCCGUGCACAAGUGCUUUGUGAAAAUCCUUCUCGACACAAGCUUAUUAAAAAGCAUUAUAACACAAAUCCUUCUCGACACAAGCAUUAUAACUCGCAGAAUAUAAAUCAAACAUAUAGAAUUGUACGAAACCGUAAUUGUAAGACCCCGCAAAAUCUUACGGCAAAAAUUAGCUCAUUUAGCUCCUUAAGCUCUUCAAAAGCUCCAACACUUAGAAUAUUUGAGCUAAGCGUUAAAGACUUAGUCUCAGUUUUAGCCUUCGAACUUUGGAGAUUUAUUUGACGACUUUUUCGACCUCCGUUUUUCGAUUUUCAAGUUGCCCUGUGAUGACGCAAGGCAAUAGUACAUCUCGGGUGAGUUUCAGAAAUUUUGGAAUAGCGUAAGGGCACGUUUGGGUGCUCGAACCAGUAGCUAAAGGCGAUAGGCCCGCGGCACCUUGGAAAUCACCCUGCUCAAGUCAGGGCGGCGCCUUUGCAAGUCUGGCGGACUAAGCUGCACGACGCCUUGCUAAGUCCGACGGACUAGGCAGGGCGGCGCCCUGGGGAUCGCCCUUGACCAAAAAUCCUGCAUUCCACACCCGACCUCCUAAGGGCAAUUUGGUCAUUUUACCAUCAUAUAUAUACUCAAAAACACAGGAUUAAGCCUCAUUUACACCAAAAUAUACUCAAUUUUCUCAAAAUCCUCUCAAGAACACAUUAGGGUUUUCAAUUGGGGAUUCAAGUUCAAACAAAUUUCUCUAUUAAUCUUCAAAAAUCUUCCAUCUAAGAAAUGGCUGAAAGGAGACAAACUCGAAUCACUCCAAGUGGGAGUUUUGGAUUUCGAGCAAAGAGACAAGGUAGAAGAGCAUGUCGUCGAAGGACAUGUUUUUGAGGUCAUGAGAUAUUAUGAAAUGGUGGCUCAAGGGGGAUACAAAAUCUGUUGCGGAAUGAAAGGACUAUACGAAAAGAAAGAGAAAAGAAAUUGAAAGAGUUCAAGUCUUUUAAGAUGUCACCUAACAUUAGUGUUGCUAGUUUUAUAAAUAUGUUUAAGAUGAAACAUGUAGAACUGGAUAACUAUGAAGAAAUAUCGGAUUGGGAAGCAUUAGCUAUUUUAGCAAAUUCUUUUCGUGACCCGUGGGGCAAGAGAUUAAUUGAUCUUUACCACGAGAUUUGGCCUAGAGAGCUUUUUUGGGUGUACAUAAGUCGUCUAAAAUACUUGUGGAAUGAAUUUUAUCUUUAGAUUGACUUGAAACAUGAAGUUAUU